GAGCCAGCAGCUGCCUCGUCCAGGGCGCGGUGUGUCGGAUCCAUCAAGGUCGUGGAGCUGCAAAGCCGGCGCCGUCGAGGGCGUGGAGUUGCAGAGCCGGAGCCGUCGACACCACCGAGCUGCCGAGGCCAGGAAGCCAGCUUUGUCAAAGCUUCUGCAGACUAUCUGCUAUGCUGCUUGCGUUGUGUCUUCAUGUACAGAAAAGAACAUAUAAUGUGUGCUUUGGCUGCUGAAUGUAAAUGAGCAUGCAUACAAAAAUAGCAAGUGCAUUGAACAAAAUAGAUGCCAACCCAGGG
rnacentral:lncRNA from 1 species